rnacentral:misc_RNA from 1 species
AACGCACCUUGCGCUCCCUGGUAUUCCGGGGAGCACGCCUGUUCGAGUGUCGCGAAAUUUCUCAAGCUUGGAUGGCCUUUUUGUCUGUCCUUAGCCUUGGUUGUUGGGCUUUGCCGUGUCCUUUGUUGGGACGGCUGGCCUUAAAAGCAUUAGCUGAUCCUCGUGUGGCACUGGUUCUACUCAGCGUGAUAACAGUCUGAUCGCUGAAGACAUCUUUUGGGAUGGCCAGUUCUCAUUUGGGUUGCUUCCAAACUUGGUUUUGCAGAUUCUUCAAUCUGUGUUCCACUUUUCAGCUUUGACCUCGAAUCAGGUGGGACUACCCGCUGAACUUAA